UUCUUUUCAGCAAGUUACGCUUCUCUCCAGUUUUACAAUAUUUUAGGAUCUCUUCUUCAUGUGAACAGCAAAUCGCUUCAACAAUAAAGGAAAUUGUUGAUUGAACUUGAAAAUUUUUCUGUCAAACUGCAAUUUCUCAAGGUAUGUUUUCUUUGCCCCUUUACUCUUGUGCAUUAUUUUCAAAUAUAUUAUGUAUUAUAUUGUAUUUUGAAUUGAGGAACUAUGGGUGAAUACCAUAAGACCACUCCUUUUGGAUUUUAUUCUCAAUCUAUUGUUAAUUUGUCUUUUUUUUUGUCGAGUCCGAAUUUCUCUUCGAGAGGUUGAGACACAAUUUUAUUCUCAAUCUAUUAUGUUUGGCCUAUGUGAAGUGCAUAUGCAUUUAUGUGGAGAUUUUUUCUGUUAAUGUACAAAAAUAGAAUUGUUAUUUAGUGGGUGUUCACUAAUGGAGUUCUUACCAUUGAGAAAAUUUGCAUUGUUGGUCUUCCUAAUAAGAGAUCAACAAUUGAGUGUCUAUUGAAGCCUCUGUUUUAUGGGAAUUUACUGCACAUAUGGGUCAAAAAGUAUUUGAAUUGAAUCUUUACCAAAACUAUUCAUCCCAUUGGGAUAAAAGUUCUCCCUCUUUUGCAAAUAUGUGACUUGUAUACACAUAGAACCCGGCAUGGUUAAGUUCUGAUUGCUACUAUAUUUUUUUUAUCGGUAUCAGAAUGUCACAUGUGAACUUUAUUUUUUUGGGAACUUAUGAAAACUUUCUUUCUUCUUUGUUGGUAUGAUUCUUCCAUCACUCAGUAUACAAUCAAUGUGGAGUGAUAAGAAAUGGUAUUGUUUUAAAUUGGUGUAAUCCUUCAGUCACUAUGAAUUAGAUAUUAGCUCAAUUGAAAAGUUUCUCUGCUGAUUACUACUGAUACUACUCAUUACUUAAUUCUCUUUUUUUUGCUGUUUGUUCUAUGUUUUAGUAUUAUCUUCCUUUCAUUUCCUAUAGAUAUUGACAUUUGCCACAUAAACUCCUCCCAUGUGAUCCUAUGAAUUAGCCAUAAUGUCAUGUUCCUUUCAUUUUCUUUCAAAUGUACAACUUGUUGCUUGAAUUAGCCAUAAGAGUAGUUGAUUAAUUAUUGGUUUAAGUAUGAUAGUAAAACUAAUGUUAUGUUAGAUUGAAUAUAGUUUUGAUAUAGGUUAAGGGUCUUAUCAAUAACAAAUAUUUUAUCCAAUUUGAACCAAGUAUGUGUUUAGAACUAUAAAUUGCACAGUACAUAUAUUUAAAUAUGGUACAAACAACCAACACUAUUAAAUGUUUGUUGCUGCUUUUGACUUGAAGAAUAGAAAAUAUUGUCAUGAUUCCUUCUUUUACUUUUAUUCAUUAUAUGUUUUUCAAUGCAUAUUGGCGAUAUAAUGAGCAAGAAAGUGACACAAGAUAACAAUAGUGAAAAGACUAAAUGGGAUGCAGAAACAACAUAAUUAUUUUUAAAUUUAUGUGUGGAAGAAAUAACUGCUGGAAAUCGUCCUGGCACUCAUUUUAGCAUAAUAGGAUGGUCUAUUUAUUAGGUGUAUGCAUGUGCUUAGUUUGUCUAUGUAACGUGUUGCACCGUUAGAUAGGGUACCUAGUAAAUGGUUGAGUUAUAUAGUUUGAUAGUUAUAGUGAACUUAUCGAAAUUAUUUGAGUCAGCUUGCCAAUCUACAGUCUUACCACAAAUAUUAGAUCUUUCAACCUUGCCUUUUUAAAUGAAAAAAAUGACUAUUAAGCUCUGGUUAAUAGGAAAUCAAUCUUACAGAAAACCAUACACUUACACAUUUAUGUAAUGUUUGUUUGUAAAUUAAGUUCUUAUUAGAUAAGUAAUGUUUGUUUUGAUCUUUUCUUACAUAUGUUAUUGAAUAAACAUAAUAAUGACGAUGUUGAUGAAGAGUUCUUAUAAUUAGUGAUGAUAUUGAUGAUGUUUUUGAUUUGACAAUUAGCGGUGCAACUCUUGCAGCAGAGUAUUACAUAAGAUUUUGUUUAAAGACUCCAUGCAGAACUUCUCUUCAUACAGGUUUUCAUUUUGUUAAAGAGAUGGGCAUGAUAAGCGUUGUUAUGAGAUGUUUAGAAUGGAAAAACAUAUGUUUCUUCUAUUCUGUAAAACGUUAAACGAGCAGUAUGGCUUAGAACCAACAAGAUACAUGAUCGUAAAUGAGAUGGUUGUUAUGUUCUUAAUGAUGGUAGGACAUGAGGUAGGUAAUCGAAUGAUUCAAGAACGAUUCCAACACUCUAGGGAGACAGUUAGCAGAUAUUUUCAUCAAGUUUUACUAGCAUGUUUAAAAUAUUGGCUAUGGACAUCAUUAAGCCAACAGAUCCAACUCUGUCUGAUGUUCACACUAAACUAAGACAAUAUAAUAGGUACUAGCCAUAUUUUAAUUGUAUUGGAGCUAUAGAUAGCACACACAUACCUUGUAUUGUUCCUUCUAAGGAUCAAAUAAAGUAUAUCGAUAGAAAAGGUUUCACUUCACAAAAUGUAAUGGUACAUGUGCUUCACUUUUGUAUGGCCAUGGUGGAAGGUACUACACAUGAUGCUGGAAUAUUUUAUCAAGCAGUUAGAAGGCAAAAUCUUAAAUUUCCCUACCAUCCAGCAGGUAAGUGACCCUAAAAUGAUGUCUUUUAAAUUCUCAUGCUAUUGAUAUUAUUUUUCAUAUCAUUUCAUUAAUAACAUUUUUCUUACUUGAAUUAGGUAAAUGUUAUUUAGUUGAUUCAGGAUAUCCAAUAAUAUUGGGCUACUUAGGACCAUAUAAGGGCGAGCGUUAUCAUCUCCCUGAUUUUGGACGUAACUCAAGUUACAGAAAUCCGAAUGAGGUUUUUAAUUUUUUUCAUUCUAGCUUGAGAUGUACAAUUGAACGAACAUUUGGAGUUUGGAAAAAUAGAUUUUCUAUUUUACGUUCAAUGUCAUCUUUCAAGUUUGACACUCAGAUUCAUCUUGUUACAUCUACUAUGGCUAUACAUAAUUUCAUACGAAGAAAUUCUUCCACCGAUGGCUCAUUUUGUGACAUCUACUAUGGCUAUACAUAAUUUUAUACGACGAAAUUCUUCCAUCGAUGUUGAGUUUGACCAUUAUGCAAAUGAAGAUAAUAUGCCAGAGCUUGAAGAAGAAGAUGGACAAUCAAACAUUCAUUCAGAAAUGCAAGGAACGUCUUCUAAUGUUAUGGAGUUGUUACAUAAUAGAAUUAGAGAUAAUAUUAUUGAGAACUCUCCUAAUGUAUAAGUGUUCUUUAUAAUUUUCUAUUAUCUUGGUGAUUUUUGUUGGGAAU
rnacentral:lncRNA from 1 species